AUGGAGCAAGAGUUCUGUUGGGCAUCCUCUGCAUUUUCCAUAUCAGAUCUGCAAAGAAAGGACCAAGCUGCCUGCUGGUAUCUAGGUCUAACAGCCUUGGUAUCUGCCCUAUAUAGUCCUCUUCUUUUGGUUGAUUCAACAAGCAGCCGUCAGAUAAACAGUUGCGCAAAUAGCCCUCCUGGCUAUAUUCAGCAAAGGAAUAGGCUAUUUUCAGCGCAUGACACAAGAAAGUUCAACCAGGAAAUACCAAAGGAAGUAGCUUGUCGUUUGAAUAUCCCAAGCACGGACUGGUGGGACUACAGUUUGGCAAGCAACGCUUCUGAGUAUGACGAACAAUCACAUGACGUCUACAUCUUGUUCAAGCAUGGAUGCAAGACAUCUCCUAAAAACAGGACUUGA
rnacentral:rRNA from 1 species